rnacentral:rRNA from 1 species
CUGCAGCUCAAGUGGUGGCCGCUAUUAUUGGGCCUAAAACGUCCGUAGCCGGUUUAGUAAAUGCCUGGGUAAAUCGUGUAGCUUAACUAUACGACUUCCGGGUAGACUGCUAAACUUGAGACCGGGAGAGGCUAGAGGUACUCCUGGGGUAGAGGUGAAAUUCUGUAAUCCUAGGGGGACCACCAGUGGCGAAGGCGUCUAGCUAGAACGGGUCUGACGGUGAGGGACGAAGCCCUGGGGCACAAACCGGAUUAGAUACCCGAGUAGUCC